rnacentral:rRNA from 1 species
GGGUUGUGAGGUUAAGCGACUAAGCGUACACGGUGGAUGCCCUGGCAGUCAGAGGCGAUGAAGGGCGUGCUAAUCUGCGAUAAGCGCCGGUAAGGUGAUAUGAACCGUUAUAACCGGCGAUACCCGAAUGGGGAAACCCAGUGUGAUUCGUCACACUAUCAUUAACUGAAUCCAUAGGUUAAUGAGGCGAACCGGGGGAACUGAAACAUCUAAGUACCCCGAGGAAAAGAAAUCAACCGAGAUUCCCCCAGUAGCGGCGAGCGAACGGGGAGGUGCCCAGAGCCUGAAUCAGCAUGUGUGUUAGUGGAAGCGUCUGGAAAGGCGCGCGAUACAGGGUGACAGCCCCGUACACAAAAGCGCAUGUGCUGUGAGCUCGAUGAGUAGGGCGGGACACGUGGUAUCCUGUCUGAAUAUGGGGGGACCAUCCUCCAAGGCUAAAUACUCCUGACUGACCGAUAGUGAACCAGUACCGUGAGGGAAAGGCGAAAAGAACCCCGGCGAGGGGAGUGAAAAAGAACCUGAAACCGUGUACGUACAAGCAGUGGGAGCACAGGUUUACCUGUGUGACUGCGUACCUUUUGUAUAAUGGGUCAGCGACUUAUAUUCUGUAGCAAGGUUAACCGUAU